rnacentral:rRNA from 1 species
GACGAACGCUGGCGGCGUGCUUAACACAUGCAAGUCGUACGGUAAGGCCCUUUCGGGGGUACACGAGUGGCGAACGGGUGAGUAACACGUGAGUAACCUGCCCACAACUUUGGGAUAACGCUAGGAAACUGGUGCUAAUACUGGAUAUGUGCUCCUGCUGCAUGGUGGGGGUUGGAAAGCUCCGGCGGUUGUGGAUGGACUCGCGGCCUAUCAGCUUGUUGGUGGGGGAGUGGCCUACCAAGGCGGCGACGGGUAGCCGGCCUGAGAGGGUGACCGGCCACAUUGGGACUGAGAUACGGCCCAGACUCCUACGGGAGGCAGCAGUGGGGAAUAUUGCACAAUGGGCGCAAGCCUGAUGCAGCAACGCCGCGUGCGGGAUGACGGCCUUCGGGUUGUAAACCGCUUUCAGCAGGGACGAAGCUUUUUGUGACGGUACCUGCAGAAGAAGCACCGGCUAACUACGUG